rnacentral:lncRNA from 1 species
GUUCGAGCAGCAACUGAUGUUGGUUCUCCAAAAGUUCUUCUUGCAUCUUUAAACUAUGUUAGCUGAAUUCAAUAAAUCGUGUUAGUUUAAUCCAACAAAGUAAUUAUUAUAAUUUAAGUAAUUGUGUACCUCAUUUCCAAAUUGGCCAACUGCUGGUGAUGCAGGGUCUAAUUUAGAGAAUACAUUAUGUAUAGCACGUAUAAGGGUACCAUCAUCUCCAACACCGGGUCUGUAUUGG